GGUUUUGUAGUGUAGUAGUCAUCACGUCUGCUUUACAUGCAGAAGGUCCUGGGUUCAAUCCCCAGUGAAACCA
rnacentral:tRNA from 1 species